rnacentral:rRNA from 1 species
AUUGAACGCUGGCGGCAUGCUUUACACAUGCCAGUCGAACGGUAACAGGCCGCAAGGUGCUGACGAGUGGCGAACGGGUGAGUAAUGCAUCGGAACGUGCCCAGUCGUGGGGGAUAACUACUCGAAAGAGUAGCUAAUACCGCAUACGAUCUAUGGAUGAAAGCGGGGGACCGUAAGGCCUCGCGCGAUUGGAGCGGCCGAUGUCAGAUUAGGUAGUUGGUGGGGUGAAGGCUCACCAAGCCAACGAUCUGUAGCUGGUCUGAGAGGACGACCAGCCACACUGGGACUGAGACACGGCCCAGACUCCUACGGGAGGCAGCAGUGGGGAAUUUUGGACAAUGGGCGCAAGCCUGAUCCAGCAAUGCCGCGUGCAGGAAGAAGGCCUUCGGGUUGUAAACUGCUUUUGUACGGAACGAAACGGCUCUGGUUAAUACCCGGGGCUAAUGACGGUACCGUAAGAAUAAGCACCGGCUAACUACGUG